rnacentral:tRNA from 1 species
GGACGGUGAGCAUAUACGGACAUGCGAUGGCCUGUUAAGCCAAGGAUAGCUGGUUCGAAUCCAGCACCGUCCGCCA